GCAGGUGAGUUGUUACACACUCCUUAGUGGAUUCCGACUUCCAUGACCACCGUACUGCUUUCAUCCACAUAA